GGAUGCGUCUAGCAUGUUGCUAUGGUGGUCUCUAUGGUAACUCUCCUGCUGCACGGCGCGCCGUGACGUCAGGGCUAUGCGACGCGGAUGCGGGCAGUGCACGCUGGCGUGCGGACGCACAGUUGGAGCAGGCAUCUUCUGGACGAUGGGAUCUCCUACACGAAUAGUGAAUACCGACUGAAGACGCCGUCUGCCUCAGAGGAUACAGUUCUCCAGAGGUUCCAUAUUGUGAGAAACCAUCAUACAGAUUGGAAUCGACAUAUCGGACAUUUAUCAUUGGAAGAAGAUUCAUCAUAAGAGUAUUCAUGUUCAAACUCAAAGGACGUAAUAUCACAUCAUUUUUUAGCGCUCAGUGGGGGUCAUUCCGAGUUGUUCGCUCGUUAUUUUUUUUUCGCUACGGAGCGAUUUGUCGCAAACUGCGCAUGCGCAAUGUUCGCAGUGCGCCUGCGCCAAGUAAAUUAACACAAAAGAUUGGUAUUUUACUCAAGGCCUAACAAAGAUUUUUCAUCGUUCUGGUGAUCGGAGUGUGAUUGACAGGAAGUGGGUGUUUCUGGGCGGGUCCUUGCCGUUUUAUGGGAGUGUGCGGAAAAACGCUGGCGUUUCUGGGAAAAACGCGUGAGUGUCUGAAGAAACGGGAGAGUGUCUGGGCGAACGCUGGGUGUGUUUGUGACGUCAAACCAGGAACGAAACUGACUGAACUGAUCGCAGUGUAGGAGUAAGUCUCGAGCUACUCAGAAACUGCUAAGAAAUUUCUAUUCGCAAUUCUGCUAAUCUUUCGUUCGCAAUUCUGCUAAGCUAAGAAACACUCCCAGAGGGCGGCGGCUUAGCGUGUGCAAUGCUGCUAAAAGCAGCUAGCGAGCGAUCAACUCGGAAUGAGGGCCUGUGUGUUUAGUAAGCUUGAAUUCUGUGUAUGUAAUUUUAAUUUUGUGCAGUCUUUGCACAGCCCAGGACUGACUCAGCCGCUGCGAUCACUUCAGCCUGUCUGGGACCGGAUUUGACGUCAGACACCCUCCCUUCCAACGGUUGGACAUGCCUGCAUUUUUCCAGACACUCCCUGAAAAUGGUCAGUUGCCACACACAAAUGUCCUCUUCCUGUCAAUCUCCUUGCGAACGCCCGUGCGAUCGGAUCUUUCGCAGCAUCCCGUCGCUGACUGGCAAUCCCUGUUGUAGCUGUCCGACGCGCAUGCACAUUGCAGUGCAUGUGCAGUUCAGACCUGAUUACCCACUGUGCAAAAACGCAAAUGGUAGGGGGCGUGAUCAUGUAGCUACAAGGUUGGGUUGGCCAUGCCCCAGGUGGUUCCAACAUUGAGAGACCUUUUGUGUGCACUACUCCCAUUUCCUUGUUUUGCGAUUGUUUUGUUGUGAUUGUAUUAUGGAAAUAAAG